rnacentral:rRNA from 1 species
GUCUAUGGCUGUACCACCAUGAACGCACCUGAUCGCGUCUGAUCUUGGAAGCUAAGCAGGGUCGGGCCUGGUUAGCACUUGGAUGGGAGAGUUGCACAUAUGAACUGAUGCCAAAUGAUAGGUCUGUAACAAAGAUU